CAGAGAUGAGCUGCACAGGAUGCUGAACGAGGAUGAGCUACGUGAUGCUGUGCUGCUUGUUUUCGCCAACAAGCAAGAUCUUCCUAAUGCCAUGAAUGCUGCUGAGAUCACUGACAAGCUUGGAUUACACUCCCUGCGCCAGCGACACUGGUACAUCCAGAGCACUUGUGCCACAACUGGCGAGGGUCUGUACGAGGGCCUGGACUGGCUGUCCAGCAACAUUGCGAGCAAGGCUUGAAUAUCAAAUGCGAACUGACUAGGAGCUCCGGAUGUAUCA